rnacentral:rRNA from 1 species
AAUAGAUACCCCGGGUAGUCCACGCCGUAAACGAUGAGUGCUAAGUGUUAGAGGGUUUCCGCCCUUUAGUGCUGAAGUUAACGCAUUAAGCACUCCGCCUGGGGAGUACGGCCGCAAGGCUGAAACUCAAAGGAAUUGACGGGGGCCCGCACAAGCGGUGGAGCAUGUGGUUUAAUUCGAAGCAACGCGAAGAACCUUACCAGGUCUUGACAUCCUCUGACAACCCUAGAGAUAGGGCUUCUCCUUCGGGAGCAGAGUGACAGGUGGUGCAUGGUUGUCGUCAGCCCGUGUCGUGAGAUGUUGGGUUAAGUCCCGCAACGAGCGCAACCCUUGAUCUUAGUUGCCAUCAUUAAGUUGGGCACUCUAAGGUGACUGCCGGUGACAAACCGGAGGAAGGUGGGGAUGACGUCAAAUCAUCAUGCCCCUUAUGACCUGGGCUACACACGUGCUACAAUGGACGGUACAAAGAGCUGCAAGACCGCGAGGUAGAGCUAAUCUCAUAAAACCGUUCUCAGUUCGGAUUGUAGGCUGCAAC